AUUCAAAUCUCUGAAUUGUGAGGGAAGCAGGCUCCAGAUGCACCAGCAAGCAGUCUUACUUUGAAAGACUAUCUUUCUGGAUGCAAAGCACCGUGUGAGCAGGAGAAGGUAUCCCUGUGCUGGGUAGGAACGGCUGAGCCUGGAGACAAGCAUUUUGCUGAGGGCUUAGUCUCGCAGAAACACUUUGGGAUGCUUUGCUGGAACAGCUCUGAAGAAGAUACGUAUGACAAGAAGCUGAAUAAAGAGCUCCUAACUCUGAAGAGUCGUGCACAACACUGAGAGAGCAUGACAAAACAGCACAAACAACUUGGGUCUCCCUGGUGUUGUAUAUAGUUUUCUUUAAAACAAAAUAAACAAGCAAAAAACAAACAAAAUACCCAACUGAUUACAGACUGAGGUAAUUCCUAUGUCCUUUUCUUUACUAGGCUAACAGUUAGAGCACUUGCCUAUAAAUUUUUUUUAAAGACCCCUGCUCACUUUACAACAUGCAUAUUGAUGCAAGCUACCAGAUGCCAGUUUCUUGAGUGAAGCCAUAAAAUAUUUUGUAAGCCUCAAAACACUAAUUCCUGAUAGCAAUACUUAACUGAGAGACGAAGGGACCUAGAUCUUCAGAAAAAGUCAGUUUGUGCCAUUUCAUGUGUAAAUCUCUGUUUUUAAUGGAUUUUCUUAUUCUCUGAGAAACAAAUCAUAAUUUUAGUUCUUUUAUCUAGUCUUUUUUUUUUUUUUUAGUAAAAUUAAUUGAUUGCACUCUGGACAGUUAGAUCACUUACUCUAUUAUUAUCUGCUACAAGUUCAGUAAAUGUUGUCUUUUACCCACCCAACUACAAGGGAUUGAAUGUAGUUGGAACAGACAGCUAGAUAAUUUGAAUAUCCACCUAGCUGGGUUAGUCGAGAUAUUAGUAUUGAUGAUUCUGAAUUUGUUUACCUGUAUUUUGCUUUCACUGGUAUUGAACUUGUGACCUUUUAUAGACUGCUGUAUCUGUUAGUUCUUUUUCAGUCAACUAUUGUGUAAAGUGUCCUUUGUCUUGCCCUUUUUAUAUGUUGUUGACAGUGAGCUGCAUUCUGAAAUAUGAUUGACUAAUCUUCUUUGGGUCACUGACUUGAAUAAAAUCAUGAGCGUAAAU
ensembl:lncRNA